CACAACUUAAUUCAUUGUACUUUUGUGUCAACAAAUUGCAAGCCAAACCCACAAGAGUACUUUGAGCCAUCAAUGUAGAACCUGAAGGCCAACAUACAGAAGAUUUUGUCUGUAAGACUACAAGACCAGACCACAAUAUAAUAACACAUCAAAUACAAAUUGAUGGUCCUUGUAAUUUUAAGGUAGUUGUUUGAGGUGGAUUAAUUUUUCUUUGUUGGUGGCUGGUGAGAAAAUAGAGAUUAGGGUCCUGGGAAAAGGAAAAGGGAUUUUUUUUUUCAGAAUUUCUGAUUAUAAUUCAAAGGCAACAUGAAGUCGUCCUUAUCCCUCCAUUUCUGCUAGCCCAUACAACUAGUCCAUUACCGUUUGAUUUGUUUUUUUCAUAAAAGGAAAAAAUUACAGAAACCCAACAUAAACCUCAUGCUGCCUCUACCUUAUGUAGGGGAAAUAUGUGUAAUCAUUGCAGAUGAGUAGUUACCCAAAAAUUGAGGUACAAAAUGGAUAAAAAUGCUGAGUUCUACACAAAGUUUUUAACUAGAGACACUAAACAUCAUAGCAUUUCUAGCAUAAGCAAAAUUUACUAGUAACAGAGGGGAAACAUACUGGGAGUUUCAUGAUAACCCACAGAUCGUAAAUGAAAUGCAACCAAAAAGCAACCUCAUAUU
rnacentral:lncRNA from 1 species